rnacentral:rRNA from 1 species
UACGUAGGGUGCAAGCGUUGUCCGGAAUUAUUGGGCGUAAAGAGCUCGUAGGCGGUUUGUCGCGUCUGCUGUGAAAACUGGGGGCUCAACCCCCAGCCUGCAGUGGGUACGGGCAGACUAGAGUGCGGUAGGGGGAGAUUGGAAUUCCUGGUGUAGCGGUGGAAUGCGCAGAUAUCAGGAGGAACACCGAUGGCGAAGGCAGAUCUCUGGGCCGUAACUGACGCUGAGGAGCGAAAGCGUGGGGAGCGAACAGG